rnacentral:lncRNA from 1 species
GGCGAGGGAGGGGAAAGGAGGGGGCGUGGGGGAGGAAGGACGGUGGAAUGAGAGGGACAUCCUUACUCCAUUCAGAAUUUUGCGGAAGAUCUCCUGGGCCUGGGGAAUCAUGGAGAAGAUUCUCGUAGGAGGUGGAGCUUUGUUUCAGAGCCAUCUUGGAAAACUCACAGCUUUAAAAAGUAAAAAACAAAACAAAACAAAACAAAACAAAACACCCCUGGCUUCCAUUUCCACUAAAAUCAUACUCCCUAUGAGAGAUCAAAACAGAUGUCAAGGAUUUGCUGUUUCCAUUCCCCACCUGACAUCCUUAGUGGUAUUCGGAGGUAUUUCCCUUGGACUCAAACUUCCCUUUGGGGUCUGUUUCUUCAUCUAAGCAGAACUCUGUGCUUCCCCCCACCAUUCCCUUGGAGUUGGGAGGUGGUGUCAUUGCGGUCUUGGAUAUUUUCCCACUUGUGUUUCAGCCCCAUGCCAAAGCUCUUGACAAAAGUCCAUCCUCGGAAGCUUCUUGAAUGUGCUAGACAUUUUCAUUCGUAGGCUUGUUUGGCUCAUCGUUUCCAAGUCGAGUUCACAAAAGCCUAGUGAGAGAAGCAGAGACCAGGCUAACUUCAUUUACCCCUGACUUGUCCCCCCCCCUUAAUGUACAAGGUCAUUUUUGAUUCCUUUUGUGGAGCACUUAUUAACAUCCUUAUUGUUCCAUGGAAAAGAGUUUGGGAAACAGUAGUUCACACAGAAUUUUUUUUUUUUUCUCUCAUGAUAUUGGUUAACAUUUGUCCCUCCGUUUGCUUCUGGUGGGCUCAACUGUCAUAUAUAACUAAAAAGAACCAAGAGAGAGAUGGGGGGAGUGUGUUAAUUUGCAUGCACUGGCUCCUUUAAACCUGAUCUGACAGGCAGGGGCUGUUGUUGAGUCCCCAUGUCACAAGGAGGAAAGUGAGACUAGGAGUAAUUGAGUAACUUGCCCAGGGUGGCCCUGCAAGGGUGUGGAGAGCCAUGGUGGGGUCUCAGAAGUCUACGGCCGAGCUGAAGCUUCUAGCCUCCACUGUCUCCUUCCCCCAGUGGGUGGUGGUCCUGGCUCAUUGUGACAUCAGUCGCCUGCCAACUCUAAGUUCUGUUUCACAGGCUGGCAUCACAAUGUUGAAUGAUGGAUUUAGGAAAUAUAUUACAAUAUGUCCCUGAUAGGGCUUUGUUUCUGGAGGACACGCAAAACAUACAGAGUGUCUUUGUCAUGGCGUGCAUUGGUUCCUAUCUCCAGGAAUAGCUGGGGAUGAGUGGUGACUAAGUGUGCCCCGAGUGGCCUUGGCAUCAUCUUGGGACUGCGGCCCUGCCAUCUCUCUGUGGCUGUUCACCUUUGCCCUUAUAGAUGGAGGCCGUGAGCAGAAGCAGUUUGGUGGCAUCCACCCUACCAGUUCCUUUACUCUCAUCUCUUAAACGAUUAUAGUGCACAUUCGAUGUUCACUCUGGUUUUUGAUGUGGCAUCCUUUUUAUGAG